UGCAGCGUUUGGAAAAUGGGUUUUAUUUUGAAAGUUCACAGCAGGAUUCAUUUUUACAACUUGGGCUGUCUUAACUACCUGUCAUGUUACGGGGGAGUCUCCUCUUCUAAUGUGGACUUGACGCAUCGGGGAUUCCUCAUUAGGCUCGGUUGUAUGCAGGCAGUCAGAGAGUCGGGGCAACACAAGCACACGUCCGCCAUCAUGUUUACAGGGAUGCGGACAGAGAACCGCGGAGAAAAGGGGGUUCUGGAUGCAGCGACUCUGAGGCAACAGAGGAGGCUGAAACAGGCGAUCCAGUUCCUCCAUAAGGACUCCGCUGAUCUGCUUCCUUUGGAUGGACUGAAGAAACUCGGGACUUCUAAGCAGGGGCAACCACACAAUAUUCUCCAGAAGCGCCUACUGGAGGCAAAGCUGUGCAGAGGCAGGAUAAACAUGUGUGGAGUAACACCAAGCAAUGGAGAGGUUCGUCUGAGCCACAGCCAUGUAAAUUCACAGGAGGAUGAGGAGGAUGACUUCAUCCUCGUGCCCUGCAAGUGUUUAGGACAGGAAGUGAAUUUGCUGAUUGAUACAGGUUGCAAGUUGAAUCUGAUGUCUUCUGUGACUGCGGAGAGAUUUGGUUUAAAAGAACUGGUCGAAGAGAUCAAAAUGGAGACCGAUGGCUUCCCAUUUCAGCGCAGGCUCUGCAUCGAUGGUCACAUCAAGGAGCUCGGCCUGACCGUCGGACAAAUCAGGAUAACUUGCUCAUUUGCCAUAGUGGAAAGUAACAAGCACCUCAUGUCCUUGGGCAGCAAGACUUUAAAGAUGCUCAAGUGUGUGAUCGAUACAGAACAGCAGAUCAUGGUGAUUGGGACAACUGUGAGGGAGCAGAUUCAUUUUGCCAAAAAGCAAUUCAGUGAAGGCUCCACAGACUUCAGAGACCUGGGUUACUAAUCUUCCUACCCACAAAUAAACCCACACUGACCAAAAGCAAUAGGAACAUUUACUCCUACAACCAGAUGCCUCAUUGGAGAACUUCAGAUUUCUACCUUCACACACUUUCAGUUUCUGUUUGCCGGUUUGCUUGCUGCGUUUAGAAGUCCUGAUGCUCCACAAUGACUUCACUGAUCUUAACGUUGGCAGCCUUUAAGGCAGCCGUUCUCACUCUGCAGCUGCUCGCACCUGCAGGUUAACAUGUAGCGUUCUUUUAGCCCAGAGUGUGUGAGUCUCGUAUUAGCAGUCGCUACAGUAGUACGUGCUGUGCAGGUAGUUAACAGAAGCUGUAAUCUCUAAGAUUGUGAUAUAACUGUGAUUUUUAGCUCUUUGUAAUAUCCAGCAAAUUAGUAUUAUGCUGCCAGACAUGGUAUUCUGCAGCCGUGGAGAACAACUGUUAGUUUGUGUAGAUUAGGAGCUCAGCACAAUCUACUGAAUACAGAUUAGACGUUUCUCUACUAUAUUUGAUAAUGUUGUAAAUGUAUUUUCUAGUUGAAUCAUGUAUUUGCAUUGAGGUCACUGCCUUUUAAUGUUUACAGGAUUGUAGUGACACUUGUGAUAGGUUUUAUCACCCAACGGAGGCAAAAGUGUACCACUGAAUAAACAAAUGAACGGUGACAUUUUAGUGCCUUUGCUCAUUUUUUCACAUGAGCUGUAGCACCAUGAAAAUCUUAUCAGUGCCAUUUUAUCUGAGAGCCAUUUAUGAAUGUGGGACCGGCUGAAGGUGACCUAAUUUGAGUUGUUAAUUAGAGGAAAAAUCAAAUAGAGUUAGGAGAAGAAAACUCCUGACACAUCUGCAGAGAUUAGUGUCAUUUUUCACAGCUGCUGUUUUUGUGUAGCUGUACCAUAGCAACUGUAGCGUGACCCGGCCUGCCGACUGGCAGGUAAACAGGCCCUCCAGUGGUUAUGAAGAGGGCCAGCGCGGGCUUGAACACCACGGAAACCGACAUAAACAAUGGGUUGAAGUUGUUGUCUGCAGCUGACUGUGAUCGACACAAAAAAUUGUUACUAUGACAUCUGGACAGAUGGUGACAUGUGAGGCUGCACUGAUACCACUGCUCCUGGGAAAGCAGGGAUGCAACAUCACGUUUGUCCUGGAAAGCUCUGAGAACAUGAGAGCUGUUCUGGGGUCAGUGAAACACCUGCUGAUCCAGACGUUGCUGAAUAAAGCAUCUCACAGGGACUCUCUCUUUAACAUCAUGAGCUUUUCAAGCAAGGUGACCUGCUGGUCCCGCCACAUGUGCUCCUGUGCUCCUGACACAGUGUACACGGCUCUGUCCUGGAUUCACUCCAUCAGCUGCAGCUCAGGCAGAGAUCUCUUGUCUGCUCUGAGUAUUGCUCUCACCGACCCUGCCUGUCAUGCCGUCCACCUUCUUUUCACAGGCUUUCCUGAUCAACCAGAGGCCGUGCUGAGAGCUCUUCCUGCACUGGCAGUUGGGAGGCCUGUGAACGUUUUCUACCUGCAAGAUAUAGGAAAUAAACUGGACAGAAACACUAGGGACUAUCUGCAGUCUUUCACACAGACCACAAGGGGGAGCUGUUAUCUGAUUCCAUUCGAUUUGAAUGGCACGCUGGAGAAGGUAUAGACUGAGAAUUGCUCGGUAGUUCUAAAAAAUAGGCCCCACAGUGACUGUGAGUCUGAGUAUGUGUGGUUCUAUUACUGCUGUCAGGUGAUUCCUCUGUACGUUGCUGAGAGCCAACCAUCACUGCUAAGCUUCAAUCCAGCCAAGUGGUGCUGUCCCCCCACCUCUGUCACAAUACCACAGCUGCACCACAUAUCUUCACCCCUGCUCAGGUCUAGUUGCACAAUUUUUAAUCUUUUUAAACUUUGAACAUUGUUUUAACAACAAUUUAACACUAUAGGAGCAGUCGGAGUAAUCCCAAUCUUCCGGUUACCUCCUGUAUCCUGUCUGGUCAAACCCUAAGCAGCCCAGAAUUCUUCCCAGGAUGCAGAGUCCUGGCCAGGAGAGAGCGGGAUGGCCUUUAUUACAUGGGCACUGUCAUAAAACAAAUACAGGUGACACAUGACUGUUGAAUAUUGUUUCUACUGCAGCUAAUAUGGGCUAAUUCAGUUAUUUACUCCUGCAAAAGCACAACCGUUUUAAAAAUGAAACUAUACAUUUACAGUAUUUGCUGACUUUAAGUUUAAGGGUAUUCAGCCACACCAUUUUUAAUGUAUUAGCAUCUGGAUGAGUGCACAGGGGCACAUCAGCUGCACUGAGCAGGGCUCUCAUUGACUGACUGCUUUAAUAAGCACUUUGCCCAAAAAUUGUGCCCAGUGUUUUCCCAAUUUUCCCAUCUGUCCCAGCUGUCACAGGGUCAGUGGUGGGGUAGAUCUAGGUAAGGUCGCCAAUCUCUCACAAGGCUCUCCUUGUGCCAUCCCAUUUAAAAAGUGGUGGAAAAGCUCCUGGUCUUCAGUGGAAAAGCAGAAUAAAUAUAGAGCAUUUAAUCUAUUACGCAUCUACGCAGCUUCAGUACAAUCCAACAAAAACUGAUCAUAAAAAUAUAACCUGAUGAGCCGAAGUUAAAAAAAAAAGUUUUAGUGUCAGAGUCACUGCUCUUAUCCAAAAGUCAGACGCUAACGGACUAAAAAUCAAAUUUUAAAAAAGGGACGAGUAAAUAUUUGAAGACUGUCUUCCAAUUUUAGGGCUGCAGUGGAAUUUGGGUGGUUGACUUUGACCAUGCAGAAAGUGCAACGUUUGAGAUUGCCUCCUCCCAGCGCCAGCUCGUUUGUUCACUUGACAUGGUCAAUGACAGCAGAGGUUGCACAUGCAGGUUGGCUCCUGGCGACGCUGUCCUGUCACCAUGGGAACAAGAUCUGAGAAGAUACGGUCCAGGUCAAGUGGUGGCAGCCACAGAACAUAGAAAUGGUUAUGGAGGUACGGCAGAAGUCGUAUAUUUU